AGGACGGCACAGGUUUUCACCGUUUUCUCUGUCCUGGGUUCGGCCGAAGGCGAACGGUGACAGGCCGGGCCACGUCUC
rnacentral:ncRNA from 1 species